ACAUAUGUGAGCUGGGAAGCGAAGUAGAAACAGAUCCAAAAAUGGAAGAGAUUUCAACCAAGGAGGAGAAAAGGCCACUGAGACUUCUGAGGCCUUGAAGAUGGACAAGCUGAAGCCAGUGGCUUCUCUCAGCUUCUCUCAGCUGUUGCAGCACAGACGGAAGCCUAGUGUAUCAUGAAAGGUAAGAGUAAGCCUUUCAAAACAUUUCCUUUCUUUCUGGUCUGCAGGAAAAGAAUUCUUUUCAACCUCCCUGACCACCAUACCUUGUUGUUAAAAGGAACCAGUGUGACUAAUGAGAAAAGUAUUGCAUGUAUAAGGCAAAAGUUUUAAAUGGGAAUCUUAAUGGAGAAGUUUGCAUCAAGCCAUGUGCAAUGUCUACUUAGGGAUAUUUAAAUACCAAGGCUUUGUAAAGCAUGUUGGUGAACUGGGCAAUUGGGUAUCUAUUUCCUGUUUCCAGACAGCCAGAUGUUCUGCCACAGCCUCAUGGUGAAUGAAAAUAUUUCUAAUUAAUGCAGCCCCCUUUGAGAUGGAUUGUUCCAGAACAUGCAAUGAUACACUUUGUUAAUGAGGCGACUUUCAUUAACUUUGUGCUUUGUGCUAGCUGAAACCUUUGAGCUAUCAUUUAUCAUGACACAGCUAGCUAGGGACAAAACCAGAUGGCUUCAUUUCUUCCCGGGGAGGAGACAUCACUGCUAUUUGAGGGCCCUCAAGAAACACUGGAAGGAAUGAAAACGUACCUCUACUUGAAAAAAGGCAAAGCAAAACCAAGAACCUGGCAUGAGAGACGUUCAAAUAGAAAUCGAAUGCCCUUUCCUGGUCUUUCAAUGAAAGACAAAUCAUGAAAACAGAGAUGCUAGAACUGUGUGGCGGAAGCUGUGGGUGUCCACCCAAAGCCCAAUUACAUGGCUCAGACACUCGCCCCUGCCACACGGCAACUCACGGCUCACACGGGCACCCAUUCAGAAGAUUGCCAUUGGCCAGCGGAAGCCGCCUCACCUCAGGUGCCUGAGAGACUGCAUUUCCUCCUCUACAGUGGCUCCCGAGAGCAUUUCUUCAUUCAACAAGAAUACUUGGCUUCAACUCUACUUCCAGGGACACUGAACCAUAAGGGAAACUCAGUGGCUCACCCAGCCUGUCAUUCACCACGAUGCACUUCACACUUAGCUGGCUUGGAGAACUUGGAGAACAGAAUACCAGUGGUCACCCCGAAUCAACAUUAAAAGGGCGGAAGCCUCCAGAAACCCAAUUUCUGCAGUAAAAGCCUGAAAAUCACAUUUUGAUAUAGUUAAGAAGAUAGCAUUUUAAAUAUAAUUCUAUCAAUUCAGCUAAUGCUCUCAAACUAUAAGACCUGCUCUCUGAAAUAAAGGAAUUCAUCUUUCCAAUCAAUAUCAUUACAUUUUUAAAUGAAAAUUUGAGAGUACUCUCUGCAUGAG
rnacentral:lncRNA from 1 species